rnacentral:rRNA from 1 species
AGCGAACGCUGGCGGCGUGCCUAACACAUGCAAGUCGAACGUGAAAGGGAGCAAUCCUGAGUAAAGUGGCGUACGGGUGAGUAACACGUAGGUAAUCUACCCCAGAGUCUGGAAUAACCUGCCGAAAGGCGGGCUAAUACUGGAUAGAGCGACGGAAUCCGUAAUUGGGUUUUUCGGGAAAGGGAGGAAGCAAUUCCCUUCGCUCUGGGAUGAGCCUGCGUCUGAUUAGCUAGUUGGUGGGGUAACGGCCCACCAAGGCGAUGAUCGGUAGCUGGUCUGAGAGGAUGAUCAGCCACACUGGAACUGAAACACGGUCCAGACUCCUACGGGAGGCAGCAGUGGGGAAUCUUGCGCAAUGGACGAAAGUCUGACGCAGCCACGCCGCGUGAGUGAAGAAGGCCUUCGGGUUGUAAAGCUCUGUCGGGCGGGACGAAAAUACUUGAGGUGAAUAGCCUCAGGGACUGACGGUACCGCCGAAGGAAGCACCGGCUAACUUCGUGCCAGCAGCCGCAGUAA